GGGCUUUUGUCCCCCGGCAUUCCACCCUAUAUUAGUCCUGCCGGUUCGCCGGCUAUGGAAAUAAAUGGCCGUCGCAAUAAACCAUUCGGACCCGGGGGCAGUACCCGGCGCCUCCACCAAAGCCCGCUCGAAACCGGGUUUCGGCGGGGGCGAAACAGGAUCGACGAGGGCGUAAAGGGCUCGCUUUUUCUCGGUAUGGUUCCGCCGUUAUCGGGCUAUGCAAUAGUUGCAAACGACAACUAUGCUCGGGUUGCUCAGGCUGCGUAACGCAGUUUGAAAGACCAAGUCUAAAGUCCUAGUGGGUUAAGCUCCGCUAGGCGGGGUUCGGAGGCACCUGGCAACAGAAGCCUCCACU
rnacentral:tmRNA from 2 species